AGCACCUAAACCCAAGAACUGCUGUUUGUCAUGGCAGCAGUUUAAACAGUUUAAGCACAACAGAAGCAGAUCCCGUUGCUUUUGGUGGCUGUGCCCCUCAAAGUGGAUUGGGAAAAAAA
rnacentral:snoRNA from 1 species